UGGUUCUGGCAUCGAUGAAGAACGCAGCGAAAUGCGAUAAGUAAUGCGAAUUGCAGAAUUCAGUGAGUCAUCGAAUCUUUGAACGCACAUUGCGCCCUUUAGUAUUCUGGAGGGCAUGCCUGUUCGAGCGUCAUUAUCACCCCUCAAGCCUGGCUUGCUGUUGGACCUCACGCCGGUACAAGGCGGGUCCCAAAGAUAAUGGCGGCGUCCGAUCGAGCCCCGGUGCAACGAGCUCUCACGAGCACGCACUGAGCGGGAAGCGUCUGGCGCGGUCUUGUUGAGAAACACCAUCUUUUCAAGGUUGACCUCGGAUCAGGUAGGAAUACCCGCUGA
rnacentral:misc_RNA from 1 species